rnacentral:lncRNA from 1 species
UUUUUUUUUUUUUUUUUUUUUUUUUUUGGAAGGCAAGUUUCACACUAGGAGGGUGUAAAGAAUUCUGAGAAAGUUGGCAAGAGCUAAAAAGGAGAGUGGAAAGAGUAAGGGGAUUAAAGAGAAUGUGGGUGUGUUUUCUGUUAACAUGACCAUCAACAGAGACAGAAUUACCUUGAGUUGUGAGCAGUAAGAGAUGGAUGAGUCAGGAUUUUCUCCCUGACAAAAGAGGAAAGAAAGCAGACAAAAAUUGACCACACAGCUGGUAAGCCAAUUUUCAUUUUGAUAAAUAUUUACCAGUAGAUAGUUGUAUAAGAAAAAAAAACAACCUGGCCGCCUGUUUUGAGAACCUUCUCUCUCAUUGUAUUGCCUUGAGACAAUCACAUUUCAUGGCCCUUGUCCCCUCUCUGACCACCGAUGGGCAAAUGACCAGAAGCCUGACAGUGUCCACUGAUGUGGUGUCAGAAGGUGAUUUGGACCACUCCGCUGUCCUCCUUUCUCCUCCUAGACAUUUGAAAUAAGGAAUGCCCAGAACAUAUAUGUUCAGUCCGUGAUGGGAAGAGGUACAUGGCUAGCUGUGAUCACUUUACACGUUUUCAAAUCAAAUGCUUCUAGCUAGGCUUUCUGUGGUGGCUAAAAUACUUUCUUCCUGGACUCACUAUGCCUUUAUUAACCAUUCUAUUUUUGUAUCAUAUGAAUUAUCAUCACUGAUGGUUGAAUGGCUGGAUUUAGAGAAAUGUGGUAGCCCUAAUGGAAUUAAUUAAUUGAAUAAUAUUGCCUGACAAAUGGCUCUGUAUACCGAAGAGGGCUUGAGACUUAAUUACUGAUGUCAUUUAUCUGUCUAUUUGCACCCCAACAAUAAGCGACUCGUUUCUCAUUAACAUUGGGUCAUUUUCCAAAAGGAAGAAAAGAGGCCAAAAUAUCAGGAAGGGGAAAAAAAAUCGAUGUCUUUGUUCCCCACCUCAUUAUCCUGAUAAAUCAUAACAGACUCUGUUAAUUAGAUGGGCAGCCUUAACUGGCUGACUCCUGUCCAACAAUUACCUCAGAAAGAAGCACCACUGGGAACAUUGCCUUCCCUUGGGAGGAGAUGAAAGGAAGUCUGUAACAAAAAAAAGGAUCUUUUCCCCAGCCAUGCUGGGGGGAUCACAGUUGUCAAGGCAGAUUUCUAGACCAAAGGGCGGGACCUGUUUCAGGGACAGCGCCUGUGCAUUAUGGCGACGUGGGGUAUCUGACACUGCCUUCCUAAUCUAAGGCUUAGGUAAUGGUGCUCAGUGCCUCCAACUCCCCCGGGGAGAUUAAAGCCUAAUUAAAACAGGGGAACAGGUGUAAGAGGGCCUGAUUUGAUCUGGCCAAAUUAAUUGCUGAGAUUGGGCUUGCAAUUGGUAACUGGAAACAGUGAAUUAACUAUCACCGGAAUACAGCUAAUCCCUUGGUCUCACCGAGACUGUGUAUAAAACAGACUGAACUUGCUGGGAACACAAACACAGAGGGAUUUGAAGUGAAGGUACGAAGCAUCCUUGUGUGGGAAAGCCUCGGCAAUGAGCCUAUGGCCACAGAGGGUGGCCAUACAUCCCAGACUGCCUGCCCGGGAUAGUGCUGGUUUGUGCCUGUUGUCCCUACAAAAUUGUUAAAAGUGCCCCCCUCCAUUCUCAGAAAAAAUGUCCUUGCUUGGACAAUAAAUUAAAUGAUCACUGUAUUUCAAUGUCAAUUUUAAGCUCCUUUUUUUUCUUUACCAGAAGAGUGGUUGAACAGCAUUCCCCCAAAAGGUAUCAAAGUCCUAACCCUCAAUACUUAUGAAAGUGAACUUAUUUGGAAUUUAGGGUCUCUGCAGAUGAUUAAGGUAAGAUGAGGUUAUUAGGGUGGCCUCUGAUCCAAUAUGACUGAUGUCCUUAGAAAAAGGGAUCCUGGGAUAUUUGGACACAGAGGCAUACAUGCCCAUAUGCAGAUUGCCAUGUGACGAUGGAGCCAGAGAUGGACAUGGUGCUUCUCCCAGACCAGCGGUGCCAAAGAUUGCCAGCAAACCCAGGAAAAGCCAAAAGGCAGGUCUGGAAUAAAUCCUUCCUCAUGGCCCUCAGAAGGAACAAACCCUGUGGACACCUCAAUCUAAGACUCCAGCCUUCUAGAGUUCUAGAACUUUGAAUCAGAACAUUUCUGUUGUUCUUAAGCCAUCCAUUUGUGGCAUUUUAUUAUGGCAGCCGUAGCAAACUGAUUUAAGUGGGCACUGGUUUCCAAGUGUCUGAAAACUCUCUCAUUGCUCUUAGUUUGUAUAGUUCACAGAAAUAAGCUGUGUUGGUGGCAAAGACCGGUACCAGGCUGGUGUGAGAAGUCAGUGAACCAACACUGGUUUCUCAGGCCCAGGUGCUGGGGAUGGAUGAAGGAGAAACAGACAUGGAUCCUGGCCUCC